rnacentral:rRNA from 1 species
GAUGAACGCUGGCGGCAUGCCUAAUACAUGCAAGUCGAACGAGAGGAAGGAAAGCUUGCUUUUCUGAAUCUAGUGGCGAACGGGUGAGUAACACGUAGGUAACCUGCCCAUGUGCCCGGGAUAACUUCUGGAAACGGAUGCUAAAACCGGAUUGGUAGCAGACAAGCAUUUGACUGCUAUUAAAGUGGCUAAGGCCAUGAACAUGGAUGGGCCUGCGGUGCAUUAGCUAGUUGGUGAGGUAACGGCCCAACAAGGCGACGAUGCAUAGCCGGCCUGAGAGGGCGGACGGCCACAUUGGGACUGAGACACGGCCCAAACUCCUACGGGAGGCAGCAGUAGGGAAUUUUCGUCAAUGGGGGGAACCCUGAACGAGCGAUGCCGCGUGAGUGAGGAAGGUCUGCGGAUCGUAAAGCUCUGUUGUAAGAGAAAAACGACAUUCAUAGGGAAUGAUGAGUGAGUGAUGGUAUCUUACCAGAAAGUCACGGCUAACUACGUGCCAGCAGCCGCGGUAA